UGUCUGAGUGUUGGAGUGUGCCCCUGGCUACAGGUAAAUGAUGUCUGAGUGUUGGAGUGUGCCCCUGGCUAUAGGUAAAUGAUGUCUGAGUGUUGGAGUGUACCCCUGGCUAUAGGUAAAUGAUGUCCGAGUGUUGGAGUGGUGCCCCUGGCUAUAGGUAAAUGAUGUCUGAGUGUUGGAGUGUACCCCUGGCUACAGGUAAAUGAUGUCUGAGUGUUGGAGUGUGCCCCUGGCUACAGGUAAAUGAUGUCUGAGUGUUGGAGUGUGCCCCUGGCUACAGGUAAAUGAUGUCUGAGUGUUGUAGUGUGCCCCUGGCUAUAGGUAAAUGAUGUCUGAGUGUUGGAGUGUACCCCUGGCUAUAGGUAAAUGAUGUCUGAGUGUUGGAGUGUACCCCUGGCUAUAGGUAAAUGAUGUCUGAGUGUUGGAGUGUACCCCUGGCUAUAGGUAAAUGAUGUCUGAGUGUUGGAGUGUGCUCCUGGCUAUAGGUAAAUGAUGUCUGAGUGUUGGAGUGUGCCCCUGGCUACAGGUAAAUGAUGUCUGAGUGUUGGAGUGUGCCCCUGGCUAUAGGUAAAUGAUGUCUGAGUGUUGGAGUGUGCCCCUGGCUAUAGGUAAAUGAUGUCUGAGUGUUGGAGUGUGCCCCUGGCUAUAGGUAAAUGAUGUCUGAGUGUUGGAGUGUACCCCUGGCUACAGGUAAAUGAUGUCUGAGUGUUGGAGUGUGCCCCUGGCUAUAGGUAAAUGAUGUCUGAGUGUUGGAGUGUACCCCUGGCUAUAGGUAAAUGAUGUCUGAGUGUUGGAGUGUGCCCCUGGCUAUAGGUAAAUGAUGUCUGAGUGUUGGAGUGUGCCCCUGGCUAUAGGUAAAUGAUGUCUGAGUGUUGGAGUGUACCCCUGGCUAUAGGUAAAUGAUG